GUGCACUACCUUUACACAUCACGGCCAUGGUCAUCUGAAGUAGUAUGAUCAGUGACCUUUAUCCAGCAGUACUCCACGACACUUACUGUCAUUCUUCAGCUCUCAUUUUAACUCACUCCUAAAUUAGGGUUUAGCCCUCAAUUGAAUAUUUUGAUGUUCAAGUUCAUUCAAUUUCAUGCUAUAAAUUGAAGAUUCUGGGUCGAAUUUCUAUUUCUAAGCCAGGUAAUACGCUAAAUUGAAGAUAUAUCGAUUGGAUUUUAAGUUUUCUACACGGUUCUUCUCGUCCUCGUCCUCCUCAACCCUAAAAGGAUAGGAAUUUAGUGUGUUCGCCACUUGGUCUAUGGCAGGCAAUGGCCUGCCAACGUUGGGCCGUGUAAAGCUAGCUGAUAUUGUAGCCAAGGAAGGCCUUCCUUCUGAUUCAUACAAGGUAUCUGUAUCAACAUUAUGUCAAUCCCUAGCGCAGUACUCUGCUGCUAUUGUUCAAUUUCCUGCUGCGGAUGGUGCUCUUGUGCGAUCUUGUCUUGAAUCUGCCCGUCUCUACUUUCACCACCGGCCUUCAUACCCUUCUGAAGAUAUGAUUCAUACGAAUGAGUCACGAGAGUGGUGCAAAACAUCUGGUUAUUAUGCAGAUCCCCAACUCUGGCAGGAGAAUUAUGAUUUUCGACCCGGGUUGACACCUGCAGAACCCGGGAACGGUAAUGAUUUUUCUCCUGCUGGUUUGGCUGAUAUUUUUGCGUUGCUGGGAAAAGCAGCAAGAGACAUAUUAGAUGCCAUAAGCUUUAAUUUGAGCUUGCGCAGCUCACCUUUCACUGAGAUUCUUGAUAAUGUACCCUUAAGAAGCAGGGAAAUUUCCUCUUCUGUGUUGUCUGUUUGCUGUCAAGCUAGGCCUACAUUCCAUGGAGCACAGCAUCAUAACUUAACAAGCCAAGAAGAUGGUAGUUUGAUGAUGUUUCAUGAGCAUGAACAUCCAGCUGAUAAGAGUUUGAUAUCUAUUGUUAAGUCUGAUAAAGCAGGUUUGCAUAUAAGAGAUUUCCAAGGUCAUUGGGUUCUUGUUGACGGAGAUCUUGGCCCUCAAGAAGCAGUAAUUUAUCCUGGACUAGCAUUGUAUCAGGCAACUGCUGGUUACAUAAACCCUGCACUUCAUAGGAUCGAAAUCAACAAUCCUCAAAGUAACAUUCAUGGGAGAUGUUCUGUAACAUUUAAACUCAUGCCUAAAUCAAUGACUAAUCUAAGUUGUUCUGAGAUGAGAGCUGCUGGUCAUGGAGUUGAAGCACAGUUCCAGCUUCCAGUAUCAGUUGAUGAUUUUAUGCAAAGACCACAUCCUACUGACAAUCAUUUGAAUCGACAGAGUGUUCCAAGUUUCAAUUUUUCUGCUACAAAUGACGGAGCAAUGAAACCAUUGAUUAAGAGAAGGAAGAGCAACUCUAAGUGCAAACCCCUUCCACCUUCCAAGAGGUUACGGCUUGAGGCACAACGAGUUCUCAAAGAGAGAGUUCAGGACAUUGCGGAUAAAAAGGGCAUCAAGCUGAGAUUUUGCAGCCUGAAGGAGUGUGAGAAUCACAUUCAUUCACUUGACAGUCCGUGUGCUAAUAUAAGAAUGGAGAUUGGAUGGCCACCAGGAGUCCCAUUUGUUCAUCCCCAUGAUCUGCCUAACAAGGCAAAAAUUGGUUUUCUGGAGGCUUAUGAACCUGGUUGGACAAUAACACAUGACAUGGAGUUGAGUCUCAUAGACCCUGGACAAUCAACUCAACAUUCUGGCCUCUGAAAUUUAUCAUGAUAGUUUGAUGUUGUUAUAGUAAUCAUUUUUCUUGGAAUGACAUCUCUAUCUGGUCUAAUAUGUUUUAGCAGUUGGUUAUCUCUUGCAUUCCUUUAUGUUGCAGCGAAUUUUAGAGGCUCUGAUUAAUGGCGGAUUCUGAUAUCUGGGCAUGUAACCAACUUCAUUUCAGCAGAUAGCCAGAUAUGGCAUUUUAAAUGGUGGUAUUUGCUCCUGAUUGCGCCUAAAAGCUGGAUAUCAGUAAUGAAGUUAUUUACUUAUGUUGGCAAUUUAAGCUAAUGCUGCCUUUCUUUUGUUCAUGGAACAAUAAUUAUACUGGCUA